rnacentral:rRNA from 1 species
GUGCACGCUGGCGGUAGGCCUAACACCUUCCAGUCGAACGGCAGCACAGUAAGAGCUUGCUCUUACGGGUGGCGAGUGGCGGACGGGUGAGGAAUACAUCGGAAUCUACUUUUUCGUGGGGGAUAACGUAGGGAAACUUACGCUAAUACCGCAUACGACCUACGGGUGAAAGCAGGGGAUCUUCGGACCUUGCGCGAUUGAAUGAGCCGAUGUCGGAUUAGCUAGUUGGCGGGGUAAAGGCCCACCAAGGCGACGAUCCGUAGCUGGUCUGAGAGGAUGAUCAGCCACACUGGAACUGAGACACGGUCCAGACUCCUACGGGAGGCAGCAGUGGGGAAUAUUGGACAAUGGGCGCAAGCCUGAUCCAGCCAUACCGCGUGGGUGAAGAAGGCCUUCGGGUUGUAAAGCCCUUUUGUUGGGAAAGAAAAGCAGCAGGUUAAUACCCCGCUGUUCUGACGGUACCCAAAGAAUAAGCACCGGCUAACUUCGUG